UGCAAGUCGAACGCUUUGUCUUUAAUUGAUCUGACGAGCUUGCUCUGAUUUGAUUUUAUCUGACAAAGAGUGGCGAACGGGUGAGUAACACGUGGGUAACCUACCUCUUAGCAGGGGAUAACAUUUGGAAACAAGUGCUAAUACCGUAUAAUACCAACAACCGCAUGGUUGUUGGUUGAAAGAUGGUUCUGCUAUCACUAAGAGAUGGACCCGCGGUGCAUUAGCUAGUUGGUAAGGUAACGGCUUACCAAGGCAAUGAUGCAUAGCCGAGUUGAGAGACUGAUCGGCCACAAUGGGACUGAGACACGGCCCAUACUCCUACGGGAGGCAGCAGUAGGGAAUCUUCCACAAUGGGCGCAAGCCUGAUGGAGCAACGCCGCGUGUGUGAUGAAGGGUUUCGGCUCGUAAAACACUGUUAUAAGAGAAGAACGGCACUGAGAGUAACUGUUCAGUGUGUGACGGUAUCUUACCAGAAAGGAACGGCUAAAUACGUGCCAGCAGCCGCGGUAAUACGUAUGUUCCAAGCGUUAUCCGGAUUUAUUGGGCGUAAAGCGAGCGCAGACGGUUAUUUAAGUCUGAAGUGAAAGCCCUCAGCUCAACUGAGGAAUGGCUUUGGAAACUGGAUGACUUGAGUGCAGUAGAGGAAAGUGGAACUCCAUGUGUAGCGGUGAAAUGCGUAGAUAUAUGGAAGAACACCAGUGGCGAAGGCGGCUUUCUGGACUGUAACUGACGUUGAGGCUCGAAAGUGUGGGUAGCAAACAGGAUUAGAUACCCUGGUAGUCCACACCGUAAACGAUGAGUGCUAGAUGUUCGAGGGUUUCCGCCCUUGAGUGUCGCAGCUAACGCAUUAAGCACUCCGCCUGGGGAGUACGACCGCAAGGUUGAAACUCAAAGGAAUUG
rnacentral:rRNA from 1 species